GACGAACGCUGGCGGCGUGCCUAAUACAUGCAAGUCGAACGCUUCUUUCCUCCCGAGUGCUUGCACUCAAUUGGAAAGAGGAGUGGCGGACGGGUGAGUAACACGUGGGUAACCUACCCAUCAGAGGGGGAUAACACUUGGAAACAGGUGCUAAUACCGCAUAACAGUUUAUGCCGCAUGGCAUAAGAGUGAAAGGCGCUUUCGGGUGUCGCUGAUGGAUGGACCCGCGGUGCAUUAGCUAGUUGGUGAGGUAACGGCUCACCAAGGCCACGAUGCAUAGCCGACCUGAGAGGGUGAUCGGCCACACUGGGACUGAGAAACGGCCCAGACUCCUACGGGAGGCAGCAGUAGGGAAUCUUCGGCAAUGGACGAAAGUCUGACCGAGCAACGCCGCGUGAGUGAAGAAGGUGUUCGGAUCGUAAAACUCUGUUGUUAGAGAAGAACAAGGACGUUAGUAACUGAACGUCCCCUGACGGUAUCUAACCAGAAAGCCACGGCUAACUACGUG
rnacentral:rRNA from 1 species